GCGUCAGCAAGCAAUGAGGUCACCAGUCAGGGGAGACUGAAUAGCCCCUAGGAUUUGAUUACUGACCCCACAAAAUCACAUGAAAUGGUCUUGGACUACUUCAGGCUAUUCAUCCAUCUACUCCAGUAAUACCCACUCUGACUGUGAUCUUUCUAACCGGCACCAACCGGCCUUCUACAGACCCCCUCUGGACUGCAGCUCUGCCUAAGCAUGACAGGGCAUUAUAAAAAAAAAAAUUAAGCUAUGGACCAAGAAAUUCUAAAUUCUGCAACCUAUGAGGACUAUGCUCAUUUAGAAAAGAAGCACAAGUAGCCUCCAUGGCACAGAACAUCUUCAAGCAGCUUCAGCUGGCAGCCCAAUGACGACUCUACCAGGACAGGGAUACACUGGCUUCAGCUGCCUAUGCUCUGAUAAUCUCCAGGGCCACUGAAAUUCUACAGCCACAGUGAUAGUAGCAAGGGUGACUGACAGCCCAAUGAGCCAGCAGCAAAUCUGUAGAUCAGAGGUUGCAGCUCAGAGGCCAGGCACGUGCUCUUCAUUUAGAAGAUCCUUCCCUAAAGGUUUGCAGCUGCACCAGCCAGUCCAGAAGCCUUCUGUGGUGAGCAAUAAGACCAAUGCUAAGUGCUUCUCAAGAUGGAGAGUCCAAUGCUUAAUUAUGUACACACAAAGGCAGGGCUGGCACAACUACUGGGGUAGAUUAGAUGACCUCCUGGGGUACCAAAGCUGCAAGGGGACCUGCCUUGGCUAUGUAGGUGUCUUGAAGAGAGAAAGACUGCCUGUACUUCUGGAGGAAGCUUGAAAAAUGAAAUGGACUGCCUUAGUUUGAUCAAAUAUCUCCUGAAUUCCAGAGACUGAUCUCCACUCCAUCAGCUGUUUAAUAAUAAUAACAACAGCAGCAAAUUUAACAAAAAAGGGGGGAAAACAAAACAAGAAAGAAAAAAGUGAAGUGGGAGGACAACCACCAAAAAAACACUUGUCAGCUCACAUUGAUACAAUAAGCAUCAAUAGUUCCAUCUUAAAUUUAACAUGUAAAUUGAUGUACGCCAUCCAGAUACUGGGGUAGUGGUUAAAGCACCUCACUGGGACCUGGGGAACAUGGGUUCAAGUCCCCACUCAGCAAUGAAACACUGGGUACACAUUGGGCCAGUCUGGGUCUCUCAGCCUAGUCUACCUCACAGGGUUGUUGUAAGGAUAAAAUGGGGAGGGCAGGGAGACUGCAAUACCCCAUCUUCAACUCCUUGGAGGAAAGCGGCAUGUAAAUGUAAUAACAUAGGACACUCUUAUAAUUAGUCAGACCAUUGGUCCAUGUAGCUCAGUAUUGUCUACAAUGACUAGCAGCAGCUGUCCUGCAUUUCAGACUGGUGACAAUUCCCACCUCUACCUAGAGAUUGAGCCUGGAGCCUUCUGCAUGCAAAGCAACUGCUCUACUACCAGUAGUGUAGUGGCAAAUUCAGAAGUGCAGGGUCCCUUCAUGACAGUCACACCAUGCCCGCUCACAGCCACACCCAUGUCCCACUUUCCCUCAGCUUCCUUGCCCUCACUGUAGUCUCUGAAUCUUCACUCCACCACAACAGACAUCCCUAGCAUCCAAUUAGCAUGAAAGGGGAGGCUGUGUGUUAGCCACUGAGAAGGCUCUUCUCAGUAGCUGACUUACCUCCUUUCAUUCUGAUUGGCUCCAAUCAGCAGGAAAGGGCAAGAACUCUUCUCAGUGGCUAACAUGCUCUCUUUUAAGUUGAUUGGCUUGUCCAUGGGGACCCUGCUCACAAAAAUGUAAGGGGUCUAACAACCCCCGCCCCCAUAAGUAUAGAAAACAUUGGCAGCUACCAAACUCAAGACUGCUCCUAUCCAAAGCCUUUGCUUAGGAGGGCAAUUCCCAAGUAGGGUGGCCAGGUGCAAGAAUGGGCAGGGCUCCUUCACCUUGAACAGCAGAGGGAAUUUCAGCAGGUGGAGCU